rnacentral:lncRNA from 1 species
AGGGCUCCAGUAUGGCAGGCUGCAGGUCCCGAGCCCUGCCCCCUUGCCCCGCGGGGAGGUGGCUGAGGCCCAGCGAAAAUUCGAGCGCGGCGCCGGCGGGCCAUCACUGUUGGAGGACCCAGUGCACCCUCCGCAGCUGCUGGCCCGGGUGCUAAGCCUCUCACUGCCCAGGGCCGGCGGCGCCAGCCGACCGCUCAAGAGUGCGGGGCGCGCCGAGCCCGCGCCCACCCGGAAGUUGCGCCGAGCCCGCGCCCACCCGGAAGUCGCGCCGAGCCCGCGCCCACCCGGAAGUCGCGCUGGACCGGCGAGCCCCGCAGGCAGCCCAGGUUCCGGCCCGCGCCUCUCCCUCCACACCUCCCCGCCAGCAGAGGGAGCCCGCUCAGGCCUCAGCCAGCACAGAGAGGGGCUCCCACGGUGCAGCUGCGGGCUGAAGGGCUCCUCAAGCGCGGCCAGAGUGGGCUGAGGCCGAGGAGGUGCCGAGAGCCAGCGAGGGAUGCCAGCAAGCUGUCACCUCUCAGAAAUACAGGAAGAACAUCAAUAAUGUUCGAAGUUAUAAAGUAGCUGGAAUGCACUUGGAUGCCAGAGAUUUUGAUUUCUUCAUGUGAAAUAAGUUGCGGAGGUCAGAGGUCAGAAAACAAGGUGUCUGCAGGACCAACCUCUCCUCUGGAUGCUCUAGGAAACGAGUAGAAUUAAGUGAAUUGAUUAUCAUAUCUAACCUGUAAGUACAAAUUACUUUCCCUUGGAAUUACAUAAUUGAUAAUUGUACAUCCUCAGAUGUGUUUGAAUCUGAGAUUUACUCUAAACUCAGAGGAAAAAAAGUG